ACAAGUACCGGACAGCACCUGCGGUCUCAGCGUUCUGGGGACAUUAGAGCUGCCGCUGCCAAGUGGCUAAGAAUAGGAGUGCCGCCAUCCAGCUGCCCCUAGUCUGCUCACGCUGACCUUGGGCAAAUAACCUUUGCCCUCUGGGCCUCAGGCUCCUCAGAUGUCAGGUGUGAACACGGAAAGCUUAAUUGAGUGGGUUUCCUAAGGCUCAAAUGCAGCAGUGUGUCAAAGCUCCCACGGCGUGUGAAAGCUGGUCUUUAGUUACAGCGCGUCCCCAGUGCUUGUUAACAGUGGCCGACUACCCCCAAGGCACGUCACAAUAGUUCUGAGGUCCAGGAUGGCAUGGGCACACGGAAUCCACUCCUCUCUCUGUAAGGCCCGGGCACUGCAGAGGGUGGGGAGAGGGGCUGUGGGCAUCCACCCAGGUCCACCUCACCGUGCUGUGCGCACAGCUCCUAACCAGGUUAGCAUGUGGCCCCAGGAAGGCUCAGCAUGGGUUCCUGGGAGGCCAAACCCCCCCAACCUGGAUGUUCACUGGCUGGACAGGGACUUCUGUGCUGGAAGCUGCUGUUUCUACAUAUGUUAAACACUGAAGCAUUUGGGGUGGGGGAGCAAUAAGAACAGUUACGUUGCCAAUAAGCAUGCAGAUCACACUGUGUAGGACAGUGUGCACAGAGUCAGGACAGUGAGUAUUGCCGCCUCUGUCUCCAGCAGUGUCCUGACUGACAGAGGGCGAGGCUGGGCAACUACCUGCUGUGGUCAGAGUGGCCACCCAAGCAGUACCUGACCUUCUUUUCCAGCAAUUUGCACACAUACGUUGUGUGUGUGUGUCUGCACGUGUGUGUGUAAGUAGGUAGGUAGGUAGGUAGGUGGAUAUUUUGCUAUCAGUCAUUGGUUCCCUGUAGGCCAAGCUGCCUCCAAAGAUGUAGACAAGUUGUGGUUGAGAGAUGGCGUGUUUCAUUUUCAGCAUCACACCCCACUCCUGGCCCUGGAGCGUGAGGUCAGUUUGAUGAAGGUGCCUGAAGUUGCUUAGGUGCUGCCAGACUGAGUUCCGUUCGCCCAGCAGAAUGGACCCUGCACAUCCAGAUGGUGGGAGAACGUUGGCUGCUGUGGCCUUGGCCCAGAGAGCACCUCAGCCACUUAAUGGUGUCCCCCGUGGCUGGGCUGGCAAUACUGGGGCACAAUGGGGAGAACACUUCUGAACUGUACCUUGUUACAUCGACAGUUGAAGGUCGUUUGUCAAGUUAAAUGAGAUCCCGCACAAGGAACAGAAAAAUCUUGAAACAUGCUUUCAGGCUGACAGAUGCUCACUAAAGGUACCCUGAGAGGGAAGGCAGGGCUCGGGCUGUGUACCUCAGCACGGGGUGUAACAGCGACGUGCUUGUCCAAGCUAGGCCUUCCUUUUCCUCCGUCCUGUGGCUGUGGGGCAUCCGAAGUCGCUUGCUCCUGCUCAUCCUUCUGAGCCUAGGCAGAAUGAGGGCAGCCUGGAGCCCAGCUGGCCCUGUGCUCACUAACCCCUCCAGCCUCUCCUGGCUUUGGUGUUAUUCUGCUGUGGUAAAAGUUAUUUUGCCAAAACUAUUGGGAAACCUGCCACGUGGAGAGACACCUGUGCGUGCUGAGGACUCCACCGAGGCAGCAUUGUGUGUGCUGCUCCCUGUCAUGCCUGGAGGUCACCAGCUGCCAACCGAUUAGCUCUGUACUCCUCAGCAGCCCCGCCUGGGGGCUCUUACCUUAGCUGCCUUACUGGCCCUCUAAAUAACCCGUCUAAAUACCCUCUAAAUGCCAUGUGGCCAUAGAUGAAGUCCGGUUGUGUGAACAGUGACCACAGUGGCAGCAGCACAGGAGUUGAUUGACAGUGAUUGACACGGCUGAUUCCUGGAGAGAUAAACAGAAAGUGGAGACCUGGGUGGCCUCUGAAGCUUGGAGCACAGCAGAUGGGCAAACCUGACUGGGAGGAGACAGAGCAAAGGGGCAGGCAUGCCCUGAGGUCUGCUCCAGGAGCAUCCGUUCCUCAACACUGUGCCUUCCUAAGCACAGACCAGCCCACCCUAGCAUCUAGUGUAAGUAUCCAGUACGGCAUCUCUACCCCCCACCCCAAACUGUGGGGUGUACCUGGACGCAGUCCCUUCCACAAGCUUGUACAAGGAGGGAGCUGCUGGGUGGAGCCAUGGGCCACACAGCUUGGCCAGACAGGAAGGACAGUGCUCAACAGGUCAGCCCCCUUCCUGGAACCCUCCUCCUUCUCUCACUGUUUGGCCUCUGUGCACCUUGGUGUCUCCAUGUGUGCGGCGCUAGUGCUUUUGUAGGCGGGUGGGGUGCUCGGGACCCACCUGAGUAGAGGGAGAUGUAUUCAGAGGGGGUUAGGUCAUGUUAGGAAUUCCAUGAAACAAGUAAUCACGUCUUUAGCCUGUCUCCUAAAAUGCCUCCCCCUGGGGAGCGAGACUUCCCCACACGCCUACCCUCCUGCUGUCUGGGCCUGC